rnacentral:rRNA from 1 species
GAUGAACGCUGGCGGCGUGCCUAAUACAUGCAAGUCGAGCGAACUGACGAGAAGCUUGCUUCUCUGAUGUUAGCGGCGGACGGGUGAGUAACACGUGGAUAACCUACCUAUAAGACUGGGAUAACUUCGGGAAACCGGAGCUAAUACCGGAUAAUAUUUUGAACCGCAUGGUUCAAAAGUGAAAGACGGUCUUGCUGUCACUUAUAGAUGGAUCCGCGCUGCAUUAGCUAGUUGGUAAGGUAACGGCUUACCAAGGCAACGAUGCAUAGCCGACCUGAGAGGGUGAUCGGCCACACUGGAACUGAGACACGGUCCAGACUCCUACGGGAGGCAGCAGUAGGGAAUCUUCCGCAAUGGGCGAAAGCCUGACGGAGCAACGCCGCGUGAGUGAUGAAGGUCUUCGGAUCGUAAAACUCUGUUAUUAGGGAAGAACAUAUGUGUAAGUAACUGUGCACAUCUUGACGGUACCUAAUCAGAAAGCCACGGCUAACUACGUG